AUGAACGCUAGCUACAGGCUUAACACAUGCAAGUCGAGGGGCAGCAUGAACUUAGCUUGCUAAGUUUGAUGGCGACCGGCGCACGGGUGAGUAACACGUAUCCAACCUGCCGAUGACUCGGGGAUAGCCUUUCGAAAGAAAGAUUAAUACCCGAUGGCAUAGUUCUUCCGCAUGGUAGAACUAUUAAAGAAUUUCGGUCAUCGAUGGGGAUGCGUUCCAUUAGGUUGUUGGCGGGGUAACGGCCCACCAAGCCUUCGAUGGAUAGGGGUUCUGAGAGGAAGGUCCCCCACAUUGGAACUGAGACACGGUCCAAACUCCUACGGGAGGCAGCAGUGAGGAAUAUUGGUCAAUGGACGAGAGUCUGAACCAGCCAAGUAGCGUGAAGGAUGACUGCCCUAUGGGUUGUAAACUUCUUUUAUACGGGAAUAAAGUGAGGCACGUGUGCCUUUUUGUAUGUACCGUAUGAAUAAGGAUCGGCUAACUCCGUGCCAGCAGCCGCGGUAAUACGGAGGAUCCGAGCGUUAUCCGGAUUUAUUGGGUUUAAAGGGAGCGUAGGCGGACGCUUAAGUCAGUUGUGAAAGUUUGCGGCUCAACCGUAAAAUUGCAGUUGAUACUGGGUGUCUUGAGUACAGUAGAGGCAGGCGGAAUUCGUGGUGUAGCGGUGAAAUGCUUAGAUAUCACGAAGAACUCCGAUUGCGAAGGCAGCUUGCUGGACUGUAACUGACGCUGAUGCUCGAAAGUGUGGGUAUCAAACAGGAUUAGAUACCCUGGUAGUCCACACAGUAAACGAUGAAUACUCGCUGUUUGCGAUAUACAGUAAGCGGCCAAGCGAAAGCGUUAAGUAUUCCACCUGGGGAGUACGCCGGCAACGGUGAAACUCAAAGGAAUUGACGGGGGCCCGCACAAGCGGUGGAUUAUGUGGUUUAAUUCGAAGCAACGCGAAGAACCUUACCAGGGUUUGACAUCCUGCUAACGAAGUAGAGAUACAUUAGGUGCCCUUCGGGGAAAGCAGAGACAGGUGGUGCAUGGUUGUCGUCAGCUCGUGUCGUGAGAUGUUGGGUUAAGUCCCGCAACGAGCGCAACCCUUAUGGUCAGUUACUACGCAAGAGGACUCUGGCCAGACUGCCGUUGACAAAACGGAGGAAGGUGGGGAUGACGUCAAAUCAGCACGGCCCUUACGUCCGGGGCUACACUCGUGUUACAAUGGGGGGUACAGAAGGCAGCUACACGGCGACGUGAUGCUAAUCCCGAAAGCCUCUCUCAGUUCGGAUUGGAGUCUGCAACCCGACUCCAUGAAGCUGGAUUCGCUAGUAAUCGCGCAUCAGCCACGGCGCGGUGAAUACGUUCCCGGGCCUUGUACACACCGCCCGUCACACCAUGGGAGUUGGUAACGCCCGAAGUCAGUGACCCAACCGUAAGGAGGGAGCUGCCGAAGGUGGGACCGAUAACUGGGGUG
rnacentral:rRNA from 1 species